UGAGGAAUCUUCCGCAAUGGGCGCAAGCCUGACGGAGCGACGCCGCGUGAAGGAUGAAGGCCCUUACGGGUCGUAAACUUCUGUUCUGAGGGACGAAAUUUUUUGACGGUACCUCAGGAGAAAGUAUCGGCAAACUCUGUGCCAGCAGCCGCGGUAAGACAGGGGAUACAAGCGUUACUCGGAAUUACUGGGCGUAAAGCGUCUGUAGGUGCUUUGGUAAGUCUGUGGUAAAAGCUCGGGGCUCAACCCCGAGAGCGUCAUGGAAACUACCGAAGUUGAGCAGUAGAGAGGCAUCUGGAAUGCCGCAUGUAGGAGUAAAAUCCGUAGAUAUGCGGUAGAACGCCAAAAGCGUAGGCAGGAUGCUAGCUACUUGCUGACACUGAGAGACGAAAGCGUGGGGAGCGAAGCGGAUUAGAUACCCUGGUAGUCCCUGAGCGGGCUGGCAAGGCGCAU
rnacentral:rRNA from 1 species